rnacentral:rRNA from 1 species
GACGAACUGUGCAAGCGUUAUUCGGAAUUAUUGGGCUUAAAGGGUGCGUAGGCGGCAACGUAAGUGGAUGGUGAAAUCCUAUCGGCCUAACCGUGGAACUGCCCUCCAUACUGCGUUGCUUGAGGAAGAUAGGGGUCCGUGGAACUCUCGGUGGAGCGGUGAAAUGUGUUGAUAUCGGGGGGAACGCCCGUGCCGAAAGGGGCGGACUGGGUCUUUACUGACGCUGAGGAACGAAAGCUAGGGGAGCGAACGGG